rnacentral:rRNA from 1 species
UAGAGUUUGAUCAUGGCUCAGGACGAACGCUGGCGGCGUGCCUAAUACAUGCAAGUCGAGCGAACAGAAAAGGAGCUUGCUCCUUUGACGUUAGCGGCGGACGGGUGAGUAACACGUGGGCAACCUACCCUAUAGUUUGGGAUAACUCCGGGAAACCGGGGCUAAUACCGAAUAAUCUCUUUUGCUUCAUGGUGAAAGACUGAAAGACGGUUUCGGCUGUCGCUAUAGGAUGGGCCCGCGGCGCAUUAGCUAGUUGGUGAGGUAACGGCUCACCAAGGCGACGAUGCGUAGCCGACCUGAGAGGGUGAUCGGCCACACUGGGACUGAGACACGGCCCAGACUCCUACGGGAGGCAGCAGUAGGGAAUCUUCCACAAUGGGCGAAAGCCUGAUGGAGCAACGCCGCGUGAGUGAAGAAGGUUUUCGGAUCGUAAAACUCUGUUGUAAGGGAAGAACAAGUACAGUAGUAACUGGCUGUACCUGGACGGUACCU